GAAUCAAGACAGCUCAGUGGUCGAGUGCAUGCUUCGUGUGUAUGACGCCCUGGGUUCAAAUCCCAGCUGCUCCC